AGUGAACGCUGGCGGUAGGCCUAACACAUGCAAGUCGAACGGCAGCACAGUAAGAGCUUGCUCUUACGGGUGGCGAGUGGCGGACGGGUGAGGAAUACAUCGGAAUCUACUUUUUCGUGGGGGAUAACGUAGGGAAACUUACGCUAAUACCGCAUACGACCUACGGGUGAAAGCAGGGGAUCUUCGGACUUUGCGCGAUUGAUGAAGCCGAUGUCGGAUUAGCUAGUUGGCGGGGUAAAGGCCCACCAAGGCGACGAUCCGUAGCUGGUCUGAGAGGAUGAUCAGCCACACUGGAACUGAGACACGGUCCAGACUCCUACGGGAGGCAGCAGUGGGGAAUAUUGGACAAUGGGCGCAAGCCUGAUCCAGCCAUACCGCGUGGGUGAAGAAGGCCUUCGGGUUGUAAAGCCCUUUUGUUGGGAAAGAAAAGCAGCAGGUUAAUACCCCGCUGUUCUGACGGUACCCAAAGAAUAAGCACCGGCUAACUUCGUG
rnacentral:rRNA from 1 species